AGGGGCAACUCCUCGAGGUGCUCUCCACUGCUUUCAGCAACUACGCUGGAGGGGGCCGGGGGCUCUUCUGCCAGUGAAGAUGGUGACACUGCCCUACUCCGGACCGGAAGCCGCGGAGUUUCCGGCUACAGGCAUCUAGGUGCGGCCAUAUUGUCGUACGGAAUCCAGUCCCCCCCGCCCCCGGUGGCCGGAAGUGACGGUGGACCCGCCCCGCGAGGGCUUCUAAUGCCGCCCACAUAGUCUGCGGCUCCCUUCCCCCUGACCUGCAGGGGACGAAAUUGUCCCAUCCGGGCGUCCCAAAUGCUUGGAGGACGCCAUUUUGCCGUACGGCGCUGGCUACGCCCGGAUUGGGGCGCGCCGCCAGUGGAGCUCUUUUCACCCGGUGCUUCUGCCACUCCGCCAAUCAGAAACUUCCCGCAUCCUGGCCCAGCUGCCGGCGAGUCGCGUGCCGGGAGGACUGAGCCACCUGUCCAAGCAGGGGAGGGGGGAACGGAACAGGGCAGCUGAGGAAUCAGCCCUCCAAGGCUGCACAAGGGUGCACGGAAGGGCGGGAAUCUCUUAAGAGGGAAAUAAAACCUUUUCCAUCCACUGGGCUAUUGACAAGCCUUCUGGCGCUGCUUUCCUACCUGCCAGGUACCAGUUUCCACGGCUUAAUCGAAUGUGCCUGUCAUUCCUUUCUAUGGGCUGUGCGCUCCCUUGUCGCUGUCCAGAAGCUAUUUCUACAUCCAGUUGCCUACAUCUCCCAAUCUUGAAGUCAUAACACAUGCAUACAAAUGAGCACAACACGCUGUACAAAUGUGUUAUUAUUACUGCUAUUGUUGUUGGUUUGCUUUUCAAGCUCCACCACAGAACUAAUGACCAACCAAGUAGGUGGGACCUGGGUGGUUCUCCUUCCUUUUCUGGAGGGGAUUCCCGAGGCGCAGGCGCUGAUGACCAGGAGGCCGUGCUUUGUCCAGGGGCUCCAGGGCCUGAGGACGGGCGAUGUGGGGAGGGGGUUCUGAGAAGAAUCUGUGCCAAUUGCCGCUGUGAGGGCUGUGAGACGAAAUGAGGCUCGUAAAAUACCUCGAGUCUCUCUCGUCCUCUUCCUCUGAGAGAGCUGAUGAAAGAAGGAAGAGAGAAGAAAACGACUUUGACGCCCGCCUCGCCCGCCCCCCCCCCCCCAACCCAGCUUUAGGGAAGCUGGAGGGACUCGUGGAGGCAGAGCUGGGUCCAAAGGCACUCUAUUGCUGGCUUUGAAGAAGCAAGCUGCCACUUUGGAGCGGCCCACAUGGCAAGAAACUGAGGGUGGCCUCUGGGAAAUAGCCAAAAAGAGACUGAUAUCUUCAGUCCAACAACCUUUAAGGAACUGAAUCCUGCCAGCGAUCCAUGGAGCAAGAUUAGAAUCAGGUCUUUCCCCAACGGAGCCUUCAGAGGAGACCACUGGCAACACCCUGAUUGCAGCUUCAUGCGAGACCCUGAAGCAGAGGAUCCAGCUAAGCUUCUCCCAGGUUUCUGACUGACAGAAAUCAUGAAAUAAUGUGUGUUGUUUUGAGCUACUAGUUUGGGGGUAAUUUUAUAUAACAAGAGAUAAUUAAUACACUGAGCCAGAAUUAAGUGUCAGAUCCUUAGUAACAGAGAUACCCCUAUGUCCCUUCAAAAUUGUUUGUGUGUGUUGACAUGAGGUGUCCUCUUAAAUGUGGGCUCAAAGCAGAGUCCCUUCUUGCCUGGGUGUACUAAUAGUACCAGGACUGGUUCAUUAGUCUUCAAUUUUUUUGCUUGCAUGUUCCCUAAAAACAUUUUGGAAAACUAUGUGACCUCCUGCAUGUCUUUUACUUCAUAUCUAAUUUUUUCCUUGUAAAUUUAAAUAACUACAAACAGUGUAAAAAUUUUAGUAUCUUAUAAAUAUCAACAUUUAAAAAUAAGACUGUUUAUAUUACUGUUUUAAAUGUAACCAGUAGAACCUAAAUGCCAUAGCUUUUUUUUUUUUUAGCUAUGCCGUGAGGCAUGUGGGAUCUUAGUUCCCCAACCAGAGAUUGAACCCGUGCCCCUUGCAGUGGAAGAGCAGAAUCUUAACCACUGGACCGCCAGUGAAGUCCCAAUGCCAUAGCUUUUUGAUAUUCAACAUCAUCCUUUUGAAA